rfam:Trichomalopsis sarcophagae strain Alberta scaffold1638, whole genome shotgun sequence.
UCAACAGCUCUUUUAAGAGCUACAUUAUUUUAUGUCUAAUAAUCAUU